rnacentral:lncRNA from 10 species
GGCGCACAUAAGGUGUGACCUUUUCAUUCCCGUUGUUAUGGAGGGCCACAUCUGCCAGAGCCUGGAGUCUGCGAAGGCCGGGACCCGGUUCCCCGGCCCACAGUGGGGGUGUGCAAACCCGAGAGAACUGGGUUGCAAAUUCGUGAAGAAUCAGCAUCAUGUUUGGCAGCUGAGUAUUGGAGCCAGGAGCCUGCCAUGAGGUUAUAUUCCCAGAGGAUGUCAGUCCCAAGGACCAGUAGCUGCCAUCAGUUUGGAUUCUGAAAACUAACUGGCAUCAACACUGGGUGUAGAAACAUGCUUGCCUUAUGUAUCAGAGGACAUGCUCAGCAGAUCCAAGAGAUAUAUUUGGCAACUUUUUCUAGAAAAGGCACAUUGGGUAUCAUUCAUUACAUUCUUGAGUUUUUUUGGGUUUUUUUUUUUUUUUUUGAGACAGUCUUGCUGUAUUGCCCAGGCUGGAGUGUGGUGGCACAAUCACAGCUCAUUGCAUCCUCAAUCACCCAGGCCUAAGCAAUCCUCCCACCUUGUAGCUGGGACUACAGCUCACAGCACACCUGGCUAAAAUUUUU